rnacentral:rRNA from 1 species
GAUGAACGCUGACAGAAUGCUUAACACAUGCAAGUCUACUUGAACUUCGGUUUGGGUGGCGGACGGGUGAGUAACGCGUAAAGAACUUGCCUUACAGUUAGGGACAACAUUUGGAAACGAAUGCUAAUACCUGAUAUUAUGAUUUUAGGGCAUCCUAAGAUUAUGAAAGCUAUAUGCACUGUGAGAGAGCUUUGCGUCCCAUUAGCUAGUUGGAGAGGUAACGGCUCACCAAGGCGAUGAUGGGUAGCCGGCCUGAGAGGGUGAACGGCCACAAGGGGACUGAGACACGGCCCUUACUCCUACGGGAGGCAGCAGUGGGGAAUAUUGGACAAUGGACCAAAAGUCUGAUCCAGCAAUUCUGUGUGCACGAUGACGUUUUUCGGAAUGUAAAGUGCUUUCAGUUGGGAAGAAAAAAAUGACGGUACCAACAGAAGAAGUGACGGCUAAAUACGUGCCAGCAGCCGCGGUAAUACGUAUGUCACAAGCGUUAUCCGGAUUUAUUGGGCGUAAAGCGCGUCUAGGUGGUUAUGUAAGUCUGAUGUGAAAAUGCAGGGCUCAACUCUGUAUUGCGUUGGAAACUGCAUGACUAGAGUACUGGAGAGGUAAGCGGAACUACAAGUGUAGAGGUGAAAUUCGUAGAUAUUUGUAGGAAUGCCGAUGGGGAAGCCAGCUUACUGGACAGAUACUGACGCUAAAGCGCGAAAGCGUGGGUAGCAAACAGG